rnacentral:lncRNA from 1 species
GGAAGGUCCAUCUUAAUAAGGAAAUUUAAUUCCAGGUUUUGAUCCUUCUGGGCCUCGCUGCCAUUGCUGCUGCUGACAGCCGUGAAUCCUAUGAAUAUCAGCCUCCAAGGUUUUCUUCUGAGGAGUCUGCUGAGUCUUACGAGUCUUCCGAAGCCAAGUACAACUUCAACUGGGCCGUCAGCGAUGACUCCUCAAGCAACGAGUUCGGACACCAGGAGGCCCGUGACGGCGACCACACCCAGGGAUCCUACUACGUGCAGCUCCCCGACGGCCGCCUGCAGACCGUCAAGUACUUCGUGGACGGCGACUCCGGCUACGUGGCCGAGGUCAACUACGAGGGCGAGGCUCGUUACCCUGACUCCUUCGAAUCCUUUGAGUCUCAAUCCGUAGAAUCAGCUGAGUCUCGCGAAUACAGACCUCCCAGGCCACAGUACGUCUAUGACUCCAACGAGUCCAAGUAAAUCCUUCAGAAUGUCCUCUUCGACACGACUCUGCAAUGCCCUUUAUUUAUGUAUUUAUACCAUUAAAUGUGCAUAACUC